UAAUAGAUAAUCAACAAAGUAUCAAGGGCCUC
rnacentral:piRNA from 1 species